rnacentral:rRNA from 1 species
AACGUCUGACACAGGUGCCGCGAUGGCUGUCGUCAGGCUCGUGUCGUGAGAUGUUGGGUUAAGUCCCGUAACGAGCGCAACCCUGUCCUUAGUUACCAGCACGUUAUGGUGGGCACUCUAAGGAGACUGCCGGUGACAAACCGGAGGAAGGUGGGGAUGACGUCAAGUCAUCAUGGCCCUUACGGCCUGGGCUACACACGUGCUACAAUGGUCGGUACAAAGGGUUGCCAAGCCGCGAGGUGGAGCUAAUCCCAUAAAGCCGAUCGUAGUCCGGAUCGCAGUCUGCAACUCGACUGCGUGAAGUCGGAAUCGCUAGUAAUCGUGAAUCAGAAUGUCACGGUGAAUACGUUCCCGGGCCUU